rnacentral:rRNA from 1 species
GAUGAACGCUGGCGGCGUGCCUAAUACAUGCCAGUCGAGCGAACGGACGAGAAGCUUGCUUCUCUGAUGUUAGCGGCGGACGGGUGAGUAACACGUGGAUAACCUACCUAUAAGACUGGGAUAACUUCGGGAAACCGGAGCUAAUACCGGAUGAUAUUUUGAACCGCAUGGUUCAAAAGUGAAAGACGGUCUUGCUGUCACUUAUAGAUGGAUCCGCGCUGCAUUAGCUAGUUGGUAAGGUAACGGCUUACCAAGGCAACGAUGCAUAGCCGACCUGAGAGGGUGAUCGGCCACACUGGAACUGAGACACGGUCCAGACUCCUACGGGAGGCAGCAGUAGGGAAUCUUCCGCAAUGGGCGAAAGCCUGACGGAGCAACGCCGCGUGAGUGAUGAAGGUCUUCGGAUCGUAAAACUCUGUUAUUAGGGAAAAACAUAUGUGUAAGUAACUGUGCACAUCUUGACGGUACCUAAUCAGAAAGCCACGGCUAACUACGUG